ensembl:misc_RNA Metazoa_SRP Metazoan signal recognition particle RNA
GCUGGGCGUGGUGGCUCACGCCUGUAAUCCCAGUACUUUGGGAGGCUGAGGCAGGUGGAUCACUUGAGGUCAGGAGUUCAAGACCAGCCUGGCCAACAUGGUUAAACCCUGCCUCUA